UUAUUCCAAAAGAACAAGUAAUGAUUCUUCUUGGAGGAAAGCACAAGAGUGCAAAUAAGAGACCGAGAUGCAAUAAAUAUGCAAUACAGUGUUUGGGAGUCUUUGAGGAGUUUAUUUGCUGGAAGUAGUGAAAAAAUGUUCAGCCAAUACACCCUUAUGUAAUCUCUGCAAGAUAAAGAGAGGAACAUGCUACAGAUGUAGGCAUACAAUAAAAUGAAUGUGUUAUAUCAAUGAUAAAGAUCAACAGAAAAUGAGUGCAUAUCUGAGAAAAAAGUAGUGAAUAUUAUGUAUGUAAUACAUAUAUGUAGCAAUUUAUAAUUCAUUAAAAAUGUUUGAUCAAAAAAAGAAAAGUA